rnacentral:rRNA from 1 species
GACGGAGGGGGCAAGCGUUGUUCGGAAUUAUUGGGCGUAAAGGGCGCGUAGGCGGAUCCGUGUGUCUGACGUGAAAUCUCCACCACUUAACGGGGAGAGGUCGUUGGAAACUGCGGAUCUGGAGUUUGUCAGAGGACCAUGGAAUUCCAGGUGUAGCGGUGGAAUGCGUAGAUAUCUGGAAGAACACCGGUGGCGAAGGCGGUGGUCUGGGGCAAAACUGACGCUGAGGCGCGAAAGCCAGGGGAGCAAACGGGAUUAGAUACCCCGGUAGUCCUGGCCGUAAACGUUGGAUACUAGGUGUGGGGGGUAUCGACCCCCUCCGUGCCGAAGUUAACACAUUAAGUAUCCCGCCUGGGAAGUACGGCCGCAAGGUUGAA